rnacentral:rRNA from 1 species
AUUGAACGCUGGCGGCAUGCCUUACACAUGCAAGUCGAACGGUAACGGGCCUUCGGGUGCCGACGAGUGGCGAACGGGUGAGUAAUACAUCGGAACGUGCCCGAUCGUGGGGGAUAACGAGGCGAAAGCUUUGCUAAUACCGCAUACGAUCUACGGAUGAAAGCAGGGGACCGCAAGGCCUUGCGCGGACGGAGCGGCCGAUGGCAGAUUAGGUAGUUGGCGGGAUAAAAGCUUACCAAGCCGACGAUCUGUAGCUGGUCUGAGAGGAUGAUCAGCCACACUGGGACUGAGACACGGCCCAGACUCCUACGGGAGGCAGCAGUGGGGAAUUUUGGACAAUGGGCGCAAGCCUGAUCCAGCCAUGCCGCGUGCAGGAUGAAGGCCUUCGGGUUGUAAACUGCUUUUGUACGGAACGAAAAGCCUUCUUUUAAUACAGGAGGGUCAUGACGGUACCGUAAGAAUAAGCACCGGCUAACUACGUG